AGAUCUUGGCUCCUGCAGCCGUUUCCCCUGCAGGGCUGAGCUUUUUGGCUGGCUCGCCACUUCCUCAGCACAGGGUCUGCUGGCAGGGGCAACAACCGAGCAGGUCAUGAAGCCUCAAGAGGCCGAGCUCGUCACUGAAAUCUCCAAGUUACAAUGCAUGGUCUCGGAGCUGAAGACGGGCUUCACCAGCGCCCUGCUGGAGCUCAGUCAGAUCCAACAUGGAGACACGUACCUGAGGGAGGAGCUGGAGGAGAACAGGAGGAGCUGCCAGAAGAAAGCUCUUCGGUUGGAGGCCCUGGUGGAGUCGC